UGGGGAAUAUUGCACAAUGGAGGAAACUCUGAUGCAGCAAUGCCGCGUGAGUGAAGAAGGCUCUUGGGUCGUAAAGCUCUUUCGAUUGGGAAGAAGGCCAUUUGUGCAAAUAGUGCAAGUGGUGGACGGUACCUAAAGAAGAAGCACCGGCUAAUUUCGUGCCAGCAGCCGCGGUAAUACGAAAGGUGCAAGCGUUGUUCGGAAUCAUUGGGCGUAAAGCGCACGUAGGCGGAUUUGUGUGUCGAUUGUGAAAGCCCAGGGCUCAACCCUGGAAUUGCAGUCGAAACUGCAGAUCUUGAAUACUUGAUAGGGUGGGAGAAUUCCUGGUGGAGCAGUGAAAUGCGUAGAGA
rnacentral:rRNA from 1 species